rnacentral:rRNA from 1 species
AUUGAACGCUGGCGGCAGGCUUAACACAUGCAAGUCGAACGAGUGGCGGACGGGUGAGUAAUGCUUGGGAAUCUGGCUGAUGGAGGGGGAUAACGACGGGAAACUGUCGCUAAUACCGCGUACCAUAGGAUGGGGCCAAGUGGGAUUAGGUAGUUGGUGGGGUAAUGGCCGACCAAGCCGAAGAUCUCUAGCUGGUCUGAGAGGAUGACCAGCCACCCCGGGACUGCGACACGGCCCGGACUCCUACGUGAGGCAGCAGUGGUGAAUAUUGCGCAAUGGGGGCAACCUGACGCAGCCAGGCCGCGUGAAUGAAGAAGGCCUUCGGGUUGUAAAGUUCUUUCGGUGACGAGGCGUUACUCACCGAAGAAGCACCGGCUAACUCCGUGCCAGCAGCCGCGGUAAUUC